CGGCGAGUGAAGCGGCAACAGCUCAAAUUUGAAAUCUGGCCCUCGGGUCCGAGUUGUAAUUUGUAGAGGAUGCUUUUGGUGCGGUGCCUUCCGAGUUCCCUGGAACGGGACGCCAUAGAGGGUGAGAGCCCCGUCUGGUUGGACACCAAGCCUCUGUAAAGCUCCUUCGACGAGUCGAGUAGUUUGGGAAUGCUGCUCUAAAUGGGAGGUAUAUGUCUUCUAAAGCUAAAUACCGGCCAGAGACCGAUAGCGCACAAGUAGAGUGAUCGAAAGAUGAAAAGCACUUUGAAAAGAGGGUUAAAUAGUACGUGAAAUUGUUGAAAGGGAAGCGCUUGUGACCAGACUUGAGCCCGGUUAAUCAUCCAGCCUUCUGGCUGGUGCACUUGGCCGGCUCAGGCCAGCAUCAGUUCGGCGCGGGGGAUAAAUGCCUUGGGAAUGUGGCUCCUCCGGGAGUGUUAUAGCCCUUGGUACAAUACCCUGUGCUGGACUGAGGUUCGCGCAUCUGCAAGGAUGCUGGCGUAAUGGUCAUCAGCGACCCGUCUUGAAACACGGACCAAGGAGUCGUCUUCGUAUGCGAGUGUUCGGGUGUCAAACCCCUACGCGUAAUGAAAGUGAACGCAGGUGAGAGCUUCGGCGCAUCAUCGACCGAUCCUGAUGUUCUCGGAUGGAUUUGAGUAAGAGCAUACGGGGCCGGACCCGAAAGAAGGUGAACUAUGCCUGUAUAGGGUGAAGCCAGAGGAAACUCUGGUGGAGGCUCGCAGCGGUUCUGACGUGCAAAUCGAUCGUCAAAUAU
rnacentral:rRNA from 1 species